rnacentral:lncRNA from 1 species
GUGUUUUAAUAUAGCAAAUUCCAAAAUAUGAACCGUGUAUAAUAUUGUAUUGUAAAUUGAUCGUUUUGAAGGUCUUUUAAAUGUAUGAUAAGUAGCCUCAAUAUUGAAUAGUAUAUAUUUUUUCAGUUCAAGAAUGGACGUUUCUGUUGAGCCCAUGUGAGCCCCAUCUUCUUGGAUAUUGCCACAAGGUCCCACAAUACAAUAUCAUAACUGUAUGUAAUGUAUGUGCAUUUGUGGGGACAACGCAUGUGUAAGUUAGACGUGCAUGUGUUGCUGUUCUGAUUGGUCAGUUAAGCUUGAUGGACACACUGUAAAUGCUCAUGUUUAUAUUUGUAUCCUCGUCAUUUUCCAUACAUGACUCUAUUUUGAUAGAAAACAAAACAGCUUUCACCAACAUGCAGGUAAUUUCAUUUGUAUCCAAUUAUUUACAGUGUUUAAUACACACAAGCAAAGGAUUUAUGUGUUUCUUUAUUAUUUUGACAUUGCAAGUACAUGUAUUAUAUGUAGUAUACAUAUUUAGAACAUGCUUGUCUUUUUAACAGUGGCUUAUCUAUGGGUGUUCGUCGGCGUGUUGAUGAGGGAGGGGGACCUAAAAAAGACGCCCCCUUUUUUCUGAAUUGAAAAUUUAAGAAAAAAAAAAUUAUGCAAAAAUCAUUCACCCAUUCACCUUUGCACACCUAUCAUCCCCUUCCCCCAUUUAAAGAUUCCUUGAUUUUAAACUUUAGUUGUUAGAAACUAUCCUUCUGAAAGUAGGAUAGGUGAUACCAAACCUAAAGAAUUUAUUUUUGUUAUUUCUGAUUCUCAAUUUUAUCAUUGAUAUUAUGUUAUAAUAUAAUAGUUGUACGUCGUGCAAAAAUGUUAUAAACAAGUACAGAGUAAUAAAAAUGCAAUUAGUGGAAACAAUGUUUUUUUUACAUGAAAUGUAUGUACCUUUCCAGUUUUUAGUUGCCUAAAAUAAAGUAUAAUGUUAGUAAUUGAGUCACUGUUUGUCUUGUCAGCUUAUCAACUCUCAUCCCAUAGAAUAAAAAGAAUAUGCUUCAAUCACACCGACUACAAUAACCAGAUCAACAAACAAAUUUAUCUUGUUCCAAUAAGGAGAAAUAUUCAUUCUGUUGAAUCAAAGUAAUUAUUUCUCCUAAAUUACAAUAACCAGCCUUCUCAUCUCAAAAUUGUGGAUAUCCCCUUACAAUUCGAUUCGAAGCCCAAAUUGCUGAAGCCUCUUCUGAUCUAUAAUCUCCCUCCCCCAACCCCGAACAACCAGUGCUUCAAGCCUCGUGACGUCACUUCACGAGGUAACCAAUCGGCAUUGGUGGUUUUAGCAUGGCGGCAAUGUGAAAACUGCAGGUCCUAUAGGAAGUUGAUGUUUUCGUAAAAUCCCACUUUUUGUACGGCCUAACAUCAUGAUAUGGUGUGUCAAAUAUAUAAAGGAUCUACAGUUUGAAUUUGGUUAAGGUUGUUUGCUAGUUGACUCAUUUGCAUAAUUCACCAAACCAUGGCAUCAUCACAAUGAUGUAAUGAUAAUGAAUAUUCAUUGUCAGACACUUGAAACUACAAACAGAAGUGACAGCACAGCAAGAGAAACAGCGCGGCCGAAGUGGUGGGUGGCACACAAGUUUCACAGCAGAUUGAUCCUAACCAGGUUGCCUAUUUCCUAACAACUGUUUUAGUGAACACUGUAGUAUUUAUUUUUUAUUUGAAUGCUAAGGGCAGUUUUUAUACACGCUGCCGAUAUGCGGCACCCUACUCCAAUGGCAAUUCGGUUGACUACACGAUUUUGGGCUUGCUGCUCGUUCUUUGACCAGUACAGUUUGCUAGUUGACUCAUUUGCAUAAUUCACAAUGAUGCAAUAAUGAAUAUUCAUUAUACUGCUGAAGUGACACCACAGCAAGAGCAACUUCUAGAUAGCAUAUAUACCUUUCAGCACAGCUGGCGGUAA